GAUGAACGCUAGCUACAGGCUUAACACAUGCAAGUCGAGGGGCAGCAUCAUCAAAGCUUGCUUUGAUGGAUGGCGACCGGCGCACGGGUGAGUAACACGUAUCCAACCUGCCGACAACACUGGGAUAGCCUUUCGAAAGAAAGAUUAAUACCGGAUGGCAUAGUUUUCCCGCAUGGGAUAAUUAUUAAAGAAUUUCGGUUGUCGAUGGGGAUGCGUUCCAUUAGGCAGUUGGCGGGGUAACGGCCCACCAAACCUACGAUGGAUAGGGGUUCUGAGAGGAAGGUCCCCCACAUUGGAACUGAGACACGGUCCAAACUCCUACGGGAGCAGCAGUGAGGAAUAUUGGUCAAUGGACGAGAGUCUGAACCAGCCAAGUAGCGUGAAGGAUGAAAGGUCCUACGGAUUGUAAACUUCUUUUAUAAGGGAAUAAAACUCCCACGUGUGGGAGCUUGUAUGUACCUUA
rnacentral:rRNA from 1 species